rnacentral:rRNA from 1 species
UACGUAGGGACCAAGCGUUGUCCGGAAUCAUUGGGCGUAAAGCGCGCGUAGGUGGCCAUUUAAGUCCGCUGUGAAAGUCAAAGGCUCAACCUUUGAAAGCCGAUGGAUACUGUGAAGCUAGAGUACGGAAGAGGCGAGUGGAAUUCCUGGUGUAGCGGUGGAAUGCGCAGAUAUCAGGAGGAACACCAAUAGCGAAGGCAGCUCGCUGGGACGUUACUGACACUGAGGCGCGAAAGCGUGGGGAGCGAACAGG